CGCACAAAUAAUCCCGGGAAGCAAGUACACGUUGUAUAAUUCACAAACGCGCCUACCGAAGGAAAGAUCCAGUCCGUGUGUUCGUUGCUGAUCCGUUUACCGGUUUCUUCUUCCGUCCCUGCACCGCAGCGCAUUAAAGCAUGUCGAACCAAACCGUCCAAUGAGCGUUCAGAACAACAAGGCAUGGUGCCUGUCCACAUGGGCACCCGCUCGGCCUGAGCGCGGCUCAUUUGCAUGGCGAGAGCGUGACCAGCCACCCCGCUGUCUCGGGACCAGACCUGUCAAUCAAACUGUCAUUCACUAUUCCGCCCCCUCUGAUGUGGGUGUGAACGUGUCUCCUCCUCACAGAGAGUGAAGGAAGGUCCCCACACACCAGCUAAGAUAGAAUGAAAGCUGAGUGCCAAAGAAAAGGGUGGGGGGGGG